GGGCGCUUUGGCUUUGGCAGCGGUCCAAGUUCCUUGGAACAGGACGUCACAGAGGGUGAGAAUCCCGUACGUGGUCGCUAGCUAUUGCCGUGUAAAGCCCCUUCGACGAGUCGAGUUGUUUGGGAAUGCAGCUCUAAAUGGGAGGUAAAUUUCUUCUAAAGCUAAAUAUUGGCCAGAGACCGAUAGCGCACAAGUAGAGUGAUCGAAAGAUGAAAAGCACUUUGGAAAGAGAGUCAAACAGCACGUGAAAUUGUUGAAAGGGAAGCGCUUGCAGCCAGACUUGCUUGCAGUUGCUCAUCCGGGCUUUUGCCCGGUGCACUCUUCUGCAGGCAGGCCAGCAUCAGUUUGGGCGGUGGGAUAAAGGUCUCUGACACGUUCCUUCCUUCGGGUUGGCCAUAUAGGGGAGACGUCAUACCACCAGCCUGGACUGAGGUCCGCGCAUCUGCUAGGAUGCUGGCGUAAUGGCUGUAAGCGGCCCGUCUUGAAACACGGACCAAGGAGUCUAACAUCUAUGCGAGUGUUUGGGUGUCAAGCCCGAGCGCGUAAUGAAAGUGAACGGAGGUGGGAACCCGCAAGGGUGCACCAUCGACCGAUCCUGAAGUUUACGGAAGGAUUUGAGUAAGAGCAUGGCUGUUGGGACCCGAAAGAUGGUGAACUAUGCUUGAAUAGGGUGAAGCCAGAGGAAACUCUGGUGGAGGCUCGCAGCGGUUCUGACGUGCAAAUCGAUCGUCAAAUUUGGGCAUAGGGGCGAAAGACUAAUCGAACUAUCUAGUAGCUGGUUCCUGCCGAAGUUUCCCUCAGGAUAGCAGUAACGUAUUCAGUUUUAUGAGGUAAAGCGAAUGAUUAGAGGCAUGGGGGUUGAAACAACCUUCACCUAUUCUCAAACUUUAAAUAUGUAAGAAGCCCUUUGUUACUUAAUUGAACGCGGGCAUUUGAAUGAAACGUUAUUAGUGGGCCAUUUUUGGUAAGCAGAACUGGCGAUGCGGGAUGAACCGAACGAGGGGUUACGGUGCCGGAGUACACGCUCAUCAGACACCACAAAAGGUGUUGGUUCAUCUAGACAGCAGGACGGUGGCCAUGGAAGUCGGAAUCCGCUAAGGAGUGUGUAACAACUCACCUGCCGAAUGAACUAGCCCUGAAAAUGGAUGGCGCUCAAGCGUGUCACCUAUACCCCUCCGCCGGGGCAAAAUUUACGCCCCGGCGAGUAGGC
rnacentral:rRNA from 1 species